rnacentral:rRNA from 1 species
GAUGAACGCUGGCGGCGUGCCUAAUACAUGCAAGUCGAACGAAACUUCUUUAUCACCGAGUGCUUGCACUCACCGAUAAAGAGUUGAGUGGCGAACGGGUGAGUAACACGUGGGCAACCUGCCCAAAAGAGGGGGAUAACACUUGGAAACAGGUGCUAAUACCGCAUAACCAUAGUUACCGCAUGGUAACUAUGUAAAAGGUGGCUAUACUACCGCUUUUGGAUGGGCCCGCGGCGCAUUAGCUAGUUGGUAGGGUAAAGGCUUACCAAGGCAAUGAUGCGUAGCCGAAUUGAGAGGUUGAUCGGCCACAUUGGGACUGAGACACGGCCCAAACUCCUACGGGAGGCAGCAGUAGGGAAUCUUCCACAAUGGGCGAAAGCCUGAUGGAGCAACGCCGCGUGGGUGAAGAAGGUCUUCGGAUCGUAAAACCCUGUUGUUAGAGAAGAAAGUGCGUGAGAGUAACUGUUCACGUUUCGACGGUAUCUAACCAGAAAGCCACUGCUAACCACGUG